rnacentral:misc_RNA from 1 species
AUUAGAUUCUUAAAAGGGAAUUCUUAACGUGACAAUAAUCGAUUUAGAAUAGAUUGCGCACCUCUGGGGAGAAAGCAAAAAAGAAAUGACAAACGGUUCGUCUGAUUGGGACACGAAAAAGAAAACAUAGUUGAAGACAAGGAUGUGGAAUCUGCUGAUGCCUCUGUACGUGCAAAACGCGAGACAGGCAUAUCUAAAGUUGCUAAACGACCCGUAAGUUUAGGCUACAGACAUAUCGGUCUUGGGAAACGAGAAUUAGACUCGAGUUCGCAGGAGAAAAGCGAACGUCAGUUGUCUGAAAUGGAAUCUAUUUGGAAACGCCUUUUGGAUCAUGAAACGUUGAGCUCAAUCUGGAGACGAGGGAUGGAUGAUCCCGGUAUGAUGGCAAUAUGGCGACGUUACUUAGGAGGCGAUAUGGAUGGUAUGAACGCCAUAUGGCGACGUCAUCUAGGCGGCGGUCAGAAUUCCAUCUGGAGAAGGGAACCAUUUGGGCAGAGCAGUAUAUGGAAACGUUCUCAUGUCGGACCCCAGAGCAUUUGGAGAAGGUAUCUUGAAAAUGGUGGACAGAAUUCAAUAUGGAGGCGUCAGUUGGACAAUCAGUAUGGUAUUUGGCGACGUGAUUUAGACAAUGUGGCGUCCAUCUGGAGAAGAUAUCCAAACGAAGACUUUAACUCCAUAUGGAGACGCUAUAUUGAUGGACCAAGUAGUAUCUGGAAAAAGGGAAUCGGACAAGAAAGUUCAAUUUGGCGACGCUAUUUAGAUGACAAUAACUCAAUUUGGCGCCGGGAGUCAGGGCAAAGUAGUUCUGAGGAGGACUCUCCAUUAUUGGGUAGAAAAUAGAAAUUACCGAAAAUAAACAAAAUAUGAUUUGGUAAAAAAGAUCGACACGUUUUUGACAGACAAAUCACAAAAGUCAUUACAUUUAUCAUCUGUAAAAUCGCUA